AAGCGUAACAGCUCACUGGUCUAGGAUUCUUGCGCCGAAAAUGUAUCGGGGCUCAAGCCAUGCACCGAAGCUUAGGGUUUGCAACUUGUUGCAAGCGGUAGCGGAGCGUUCCGUAAGCCUGUGAAGCGAUCUGGUAAUGGGUCGUGGAGGUAUCGGAAGUGCGAAUGCAGACAUGAGUAGCGAUAAAGAGGGUGAGAUGCCCUCUCGCCGAAAGACCAAGGGUUCCUGCGCAAGGCUAAUCCGCGCAGGGUGAGCCGGCCCCUAAGGCGAGGGCGACAGCCGUAGCCGAUGGAAACCAGGUCAAAAUUCCUGGGCCCGUCAGAAGUGACAGCCGUGAAGUUCUGUCAUCCCUUAUCGGAUUGGGGUGGCAGUUGGAUCGGCUCGGGAAAUAGCUCUGACAUAUGGACCGUACCCGAAACCGACACAGGGGGUCAGGGAGAGAAUACCAAGGUGAGCGAGCGAACUAU
rnacentral:rRNA from 1 species